rnacentral:rRNA from 1 species
AACGAACGCUGGCGGCAGGCUUAACACAUGCAAGUCGAGCGCCUCGCAAGGGGAGCGGCAGACGGGUGAGUAACGCGUGGGAACAUGCCCAAAGGUACGGAACAACUCCGGGAAACUGGAGCUAAUACCGUAUUUGACCGAGAGGUUAACGAUUUAUGGCCUUUGGAGUGGCCCGCGUUGGAUUAGCGAGGUGGUGGGGUAAAGGGCUACCAAGGCGACGAUCCAUAGCUGGUCUGAGAGGAUGAUCAGCCACGCUGGGACUGAGAGAAGGCCCAGACUCCUACGGGAGGCAGGAGUGGGGAAUAUUGGACAAUGGGCGCAAGCCUGAUCCAGCCAUGCCGCGUGUGUGAUGAAGGCCUUAGGGUUGUGAAGCACUUUCGCCAGGGACGAUAAUGACGGUACCUGGAUAAGAAGCCCCGGCUAACUUCGUGCCAGCCGCCGCGGUAAAAC